AGAGAGAUGGCAGAGCGGUCGAAUGCGGUAGUCUUGAAAACUAUUGACUGUUACAGGUCCGGGGGUUCGAAUCCCUCUCUCUCUG
rnacentral:tRNA from 1 species